rnacentral:rRNA from 1 species
GGUUAAGCGACUAAGCGUACACGGUGGAUGCCCUGGCAGUCAGAGGCGAUGAAGGACGUGCUAAUCUGCGAUAAGCGUCGGUAAGGUGAUAUGAACCGUUAUAACCGGCGAUUUCCGAAUGGGGAAACCCAGUGUGAUUCGUCACACUAUCAUUAACUGAAUCCAUAGGUUAAUGAGGCGAACCGGGGGAACUGAAACAUCUAAGUACCCCGAGGAAAAGAAAUCAACCGAGAUUCCCCCAGUAGCGGCGAGCGGACGGGGAGCAGCCCAGAGCCUGAAUCAGUGUGUGUGUUAGUGGAAGCGUCUGGAAAGGCGUGCGAUACAGGGUGACAGCCCCGUACACAAAAAUGCACAUAUUGUGAGCU